ACAUUGUCUUCGCUGUUGCCUUGGCAAACAGAUGGGACAUUAUCUGCAAUUAGAUGUCAAAAGUGUCUUCCUUCACAUGGUCAACUACCAGAACUUGUCUACAUUGAACAACCUCCAAGAUUCAACAAACCUCACCAUGUCUCUCAAGGCUCUCUGUAUGGCCUUUGCCAAGCCCAAGACCCUGGUUUGCUCCAUUCAAUCCCUUUCUUAUUACCUUAGGCUUUAUUUGUAGCUAGCACAGCUCGCUCAUCUCUCUUUGCAAGGCAUUACAUACUCACGACACCAUCUAUUUGCUUGAGUAUAUAUGUUGAUCGAUAUUAUCCUCACGGACAGUACUCAAAGCUAGCUAUUUGGACAGGUUCAUUCAAGAACUAGGGAAUGAAUUUUCGAUGGACCUUGGACGUACCCACUACUUCCUUGGUAUUGAAGUUCAACAGUACCAGGGCCCUGGGAAUUUUCUUCAAUCAAGCUAAAAUACGCAGUUGGGUUCUAGCAAAGGCCAACAUUGACUGAAUGCAAACCUAUAUCGCAACAUUGAUGGUAGCCUGUAGUAGUUGGCUUUCACCAGGCUUGACCUCACACAUAUAAUUGUGUGAACUAUGUGUCUCAAUUUAUAUAUGCAUAACCCAUCAUAUAUAAUUCCAUUUUAAGAUUGGGUUGGCUAUACUCUCAUCAGACGAUCCACAACAGGUUACUGCUCUUUUCCUGGAGUUCAAGUUCAGAGAAACAACCAACAGUGGCUACAUCUAGUGCUGAGGUUAUGAGUAUCAAGCCUCAGCUUCAACCACUGCAGAAUGGAUUUCUUAUAUCCAACUAAUCAGUGUACAACUACUCCUAUAUAAACUGAAGAAUUAAAUCUUCACGUAUCAAUAUCAACAUUAGUUGUAUUCA